rnacentral:rRNA from 1 species
CGUAGGGUGCGAGCGUUAAUCGGAAUUACUGGGCGUAAAGCGUGCGCAGGCGGUUUUGCAAGACAGGCGUGAAAUCCCCGGGCUCAACCUGGGAACUGCGCUUGUGACUGCAAGACUAGAGUACGGCAGAGGGGGUAGAAUUCCACGUGUAGCAGUGAAAUGCGUAGAGAUGUGGAGGAAUACCGAUGGCGAAGGCAGCCCCCUGGGCCAGUACUGACGCUCAUGCACGAAAGCGUGGGGAGCAAACAGGAUUAGAUACCCUGGUAGUCCACGCCCUAAACGAUGUCAACUAGGUGUUGGGUGGGUAAAACCAUUUAGUACCGAAGCUAACGCAUGAAGUUGACCGCCUGGGGAGUACGGCCGCAAGGUUA